GGGCCCGUCGUCUAGCCUGGAUUAGGACAUAGAGUUUAAAAGCCUAAAAUCCGGGGUUCAAAUCCCCGCGGGCCCGCCA
rnacentral:tRNA from 1 species